UACGUAGGGGGCUAGCGUUGUUCGGAAUUACUGGGCGUAAAGGGCGCGUAGGCGGUCCUGAUCGUCGGAUGUGAAAGCCCUGGGCUCAACCUGGGAACUGCAUCCGAUACGGCGGGACUGGAGUGUGGGAGAGGUUGGUGGAAUUCCCAGUGUAGAGGUGAAAUUCGUAGAUAUUGGGAAGAACACCGGUGGCGAAGGCGGCCAACUGGACCACAACUGACGCUGAGGCGCGAAAGCGUGGGGAGCAAACAGG
rnacentral:rRNA from 1 species